AACGAACGCUGGCGGCAGGCUUAACACAUGCAAGUCGAGCGCCCCGCAAGGGGAGCGGCAGACGGGUGAGUAACGCGUGGGAAUCUACCCAUCUCUACGGAAUAACGCAUGGAAACGUGUGCUAAUACCGUAUACGUCCUUCGGGAGAAAGAUUUAUCGGAGAUGGAUGAGCCCGCGUUGGAUUAGCUAGUUGGUGGGGUAAAGGCCUACCAAGGCGACGAUCCAUAGCUGGUCUGAGAGGAUGAUCAGCCACACUGGGACUGAGACACGGCCCAGACUCCUACGGGAGGCAGCAGUGGGGAAUAUUGGACAAUGGGCGCAAGCCUGAUCCAGCCAGGCCGCGUGAGUGAUGAAGGCCCUAGGGUUGUAAAGCUCUUUCACCGGCGAAGAUAAUGACGGUAACCGGAGAAGUAGCCCCGGCUAACUUCGUGCCAGCCGCCGCCGUAAGAC
rnacentral:rRNA from 1 species